UACGCCGAAGCUGUUGUUUCAGCGGGUGAUUUUUACUCAUCAGAAGAAGUUUUUCCGGUGUUC
rnacentral:tRNA from 1 species